AGGAGAUAUAUUGAAAAAAGGUAUAUGUAAAAGAAUAUUAUUUUAAGGAUUACGAAUUAAUUUUAUUAAAGAUAAAAAGAAAGGAAUCGAUCAAAACAUGAAAAUGUAAAGAAAGAGCAAGUGGAAUGAAACAUCUGAGUAACUUGUAAAAAAACCAACAGGGAAAAUAUGAGUAACGGUGAGUGAAAGUAAAGAAUGAUCAAAAAGUAUUACCAUAAGGUAAGAAAAGAGUAGACCAACUACUAAGAAAAUAAAAAAUAAAAUUAAAAUAAAGUACCGUAAGGGAAAGUAAGAAAAUAGAAUAAUAGAGAGCAGUUAUAGUAUAACGUACCUUUUGUAUAAUGGGCCAGUGAGUUAUAAAUUUUAGUGAAAAUAAAAAAUAAUAUAUAAAAAUAGAAAAAAUUAAAAUUUAUAGGCCCGAAAGCAAACGAUCUACAUAUGUCCAAGUAUAUAUUAAUAAAAAAAAUUAAUAUAUGACUCAAUAGGUAAUUGUAGCAAUAAUUUCUAAAGAGAUGUGUGUAGUUGUGACAGACAAAUCUGGUUUGCAGAUAGCUGGUUUUCUGCGAAAUAUAUUUUAGUAUAGCCUUUAUAAAAUUUUUAAACUGGUACAGCACUUAAAUAACUUUGGGGAAUUAGAAUAUAAUUUUAUCAAAAUAUUUAAACCUCGAAAUCAGUUAACAAAAAAUAUAAGGAGUCAGACUUAUUGCGAUAAGGUAGUAAGUCAAAAAGGAAACAACCGAGACUAUAAAAUGAAUGUCCCAAAUAUUAAUUAAGUGAAUAAAAUCUAUAAAAAGCCACGUAAUUAACUACAUGGGUAAAACUUUUUUUUAAAUUCUAGACAAUUAGUAAGUGGGUUUGACAAUAAUCAACUUUUAAUGAACAUGUAACAAUGCACUAAUUUUAUAUAUAAACUUAAAUUUACUUAUGGUAUUUAAAGUUUAUUAGAUUAAUUAUAGAGAAAAUAUAUCGGGUCUAAAUUAAUAACAGAAUUAUAGAUAUAAAAAGAUGAAAAAAAAAUAAAAUUUUUAUAUGGUAGCAGAAUAUAUAAUGAAAAAUUAUAAAGAGAUUGCUGGCUUGAGUAACGAUAGAUAAUAUAAGAUUAUCCCCUUAUUCAUAAGGUUUUACUAUAAACGAACGGUCCCUAAGAGGAUAUAGAAAUAUAAAAUUGAUGGGUGAAAGAACAAGAAAAGAAGAAAGAACCGUACUGUAAACCGACACAGGUAUGAUAAGAAGGGAAUGAGAUAACUACUUUGAAUGAACUCGGCAAAAUAAAUCGUGCGACUGUUUACCAAAAACAUAGCUUAUUGCAAACUAGUAAUAGUAAGUAUAAUAAGUGAUAUCUGCCCAGUGUUAGUAAAAUAAAUAAAAUUUAUUAAAAAGAUAAAAUUAUAAAAAACUAGUAAACGGCGGUCUUAUUGUGAGGAUCUAAAAGUAGCGGUGCGACAAGAUACUCGUAAUAGGAAUGUGUUGAAAGAACACAAUUAACAAUCAUAUUUAAUUAACCUACUUUGACAUGCAUAAAGAGUAAUCUUUUUGUGUGAAGCUCAAAGGACAACGACUAUAAACUUUAGCUGAUAUAAGUGAAUUAGGCUAGGUUAGAACAACAUGGUUAGUUUUUCGAAAUAGUGGUAUUUAAAAUCUCGUUAGAGAAAAGUAACAUGAUCAGCUUAGUUACUAUGUGAUUGGGGAUAUUUUGACGCUACGUAAAUAUCUAUAUGAUAAAAAUAAAAUAUAAUCACCGGGAUAUAGCUAUAACCUAAAUUGUUCAUAAAGGUCCUAUUACGGAAACUUGGUAAGCCUUAUAUCUCCUUAUAUCUACCGAUUUCAGGGUAAAUAUAAGAAGUAAUCUAUAAAAUUAAAUUAGCAUUUAAUGGAUAUGAUUAUAAAAGAUAGAAGGUAAAGGAUAAAUAUAAUAAGCAAAUGACCUAAUGUAAUGUUGGGUAUAGAGUAAUACUUAAUCUGAAAAGAUGCUGACUUAUAUAUAAAGCUAUUGAAUUGAAAUAUAUGUGUAAGUAGUCGCGUUAAAUCUCUACGUAUUUUAUAAAGUCUAUCCCUAGACAAAAAACGUAGACCUAGAUUUACAAUAUUUUAAUUAAAAUAUAUCUUUUGAGUUAUAAAUAACUUAAAAAAAACUAUAUAUUUUUAAUAAAUGAAGAAAACUAUGAACACAAUUAAAUCGACAGAAAGCAAAUAAAAGCUCAAGUCGAUAAGUAACAAUUAAAGAUUGUAACAACUAAUUAUUGGGAAGACUUAAAAAAAGUAAAGGAAUAACAAAAAACAUUAGUAAGAACUCAUAUUGCUAGAUUACUAGCUAUAAAUAAUGUAUUAUCUUCAAAAGGAAGUAAAACACCCGAAAUUGAUGGCUUUAUAGUCAAAAAUUAUGAUGAUAAAGAUCAUUUAUAUGAAAAUUUGAAACAAAUUAAUAAGUAUGAAGGGUUAUCUGUCAAAAAAGUGUAAAUACCAAAAGGAAAUGGUAAACAAGACCUCUAGGUAUACCCACUAUCCAAGAUAGAUGCAUGCAAAGUUUAUUGCAUUAUUACCAUAUGCUGAUAUAAAAGCUGACUAUAUUUUUUAUGGAUUUAGACCAAAUAGAUAGACAAAUGAUGUUAUAUAAAAUUUAUAUAAAAGUCAAUACAUUAAAAAUAAUAUGCUUCCUAAAGUAAAUUGAGUGUUAGAUGCAAAUAUCAAGGGUUUCUUUGAUUACAUCUCUCAUGAAUUCAUACUAGAGAAUAUACCUAUUGAAAGAAAGUAUUAUAACAAUAGAUUAAAGCUGGUUUCUUAGAAGCGGGCUAUUGAUAAAUACAAUAUACAGAUUUAGGAGUACCACAAGGUGGAAUAAUUUUACCUAUGAUUGCUAAUAUUACUCUAGAUGCAUUAUAAGCUUACAUAAAAAAAAGUCUUAAAAAGAAAGAUAUUUAUAAUACCUUGAUCUAUAAGACACGUAUUAUUAGAUAUGCUGACUAUUUUGUAAUUAUAUAUCCUCAUAAGUGGGUUGCUGAUAGAUGUCUUAACAUAGCUAAGACUUUCUGGUAGUAAUAGGUCUAAGUCUAAAUUUAUAUAAAACAAUGAUAGUUGAUUUGUCGAAAGAUAGGUUAGAUUAUCUAGGUUUUUAUAUUAUAAGAACUAAUCAGAAUACUAAAACAUUAAUAAUACCUGAUCUAGAUAAAGUUAAAAUAUUUAUUAAUAAAGUACUUGACAUUAUCAAAGGUUGCAACACUCCUAAAGAGAUAAUAACAAAACUUAACCCUGUAUUACUGGGUUGAGCUAAUUAUUACAAUGGUUGCUCAGCUUAUACUACUUUUAAUAAGGUACAUAUGAGCAUACAUGAAGGUUUAUUAAAAUUAGGUAAGAAAAGGUUACUAACCAAAUCUAAUAAAACUGUAUAUGAUAAAUAUUAAAAAAAAAGUAUAGAUAAGGAUUCGAAAGAGUUAUAUCUAUAUUAUUUAUAUUAUCAAGGAAAAAAGGUAAAACUAUAUGAUAUACAAGCUACUAAGAUAGUAUACCAUUUAAAUACUGUUAAACUUUAUUUCAAAACUAAUGGUUAGAGUAAUCUUUUUGAUAUAUUAGAAUGAUGAAAUUCAUGGCGAUCUAUUUUAGGAUAGACCGUUUUCAAUAGUUUGAGCCGUAUGCAGUGAAAGUUGCACGUACGGUUCUCGAGGGGGGAAAGCUCGUGAGGGCCUACCUAUCCUAACAAAUUCAUUGACGUAUAAUUGACGUCCUGCAUGAAUGAAUAUACGAUGCGAUAACUGUAUCCAAAGUAGACUCAGUGAAAUAGCAAUUGCGGUGAUUUUAGUACUAUAAUAUAAAAUAUUAUUCGCCGGGUUGGUGUAAAUCCAACUUUAUAGUUUUAAUUUUUUAUUAAAUAUCCCCGCCCGUAGGGCGGGGAUGUUUCAUAGGGUUUACCCUAAAAAUAUCUAAAAUAAAAAAAAAAUCCUAACCUAACCUUAAUUAUUUAUUUUUUAUAUAUAAUAACUUAUUUUAUCAUUAAAUUAUAUACUUUAUAUAAAUAAAACCUAAAUAAAUUAGGUUAUAUUUAUGGGGUUUACCCCUAAAAUUUUACCUUAAAUAGGUUAUAAUUAAUCAAAUAAAAAAAAAAGAUAAAAAGAAUUAUAUUAUUAGAUGGAAAAUCUAACUUUUUUAAUAAAGAAUAGCUAUUAAGUAUACCCCCCCCCACGUCGAUGACGUGGGGGGAUAAUUAAAAUUAUUUAUUUGAUUAAAUACUAUUUUUAUUUCGGAUAAAUCUUAUCUAUAAUUAAAUUUUAUUUAGGUAUUAUUAAUUUUAACAUAAAAAGAUAUUAGUAUUCUUUAAUUUUAUUUUAUGGGUAUGAAACAUCAAUAUUAUUAAUCUAGAUAAAAAAUUUAAAGAUAAAAUAAAAUAUACCCGCCCUACGGGCGGGUAUGUUUCAUACCCCGCAUUGCGGGGGAUAAAAUAUAUGGAAAUAUAUGAAGUAUUUAGAUUUUUACGAUAGUAAAAAAUAUAUUAAAUAAAAAUAAUUAAUAUGCCCCCCACUACGUGGGGGGGUAAUAAUAUAAGUAAUUAAAAUUAAGAAAGUUUAAAAUUUUAAAUAACUAAUAAAAUAAUUAAUAAAUAUAAUAAUAAUAUUAAUAAAAUAAUAAAAUAAAUAUUAAUAAUAAACAAAAAAUAAAGAAAAAAUAAAAUGAUAAAUAAGAAAUAAUAAGAAAUAAAUAAAAAGAAAAGAAUGAAAGUUAGUAUUUAAAGAGAUAAAAAAAUAAAAAAUUAAAUGUUUUUUUUUUUAAUAAAAGACAGAUGAGUAUUAAUGAGUAUGAAAAAUUCAUACAAAAAUAAAAAAGUGAAAGAAUACAAUCGAAUAAUACUUAAACCUUGAGAGAGGGUAAAUUACAUAAAGGCAAUAUGUAGUUUAAGAAAUCACUAUAAAUAAAAAGGUGAAAACGGUCAAUGACAACUAAGUUAAAGACCGUCGGCAGUUGUAUAUGUCGCUACAGACUGGUUCACCGAGGUUAGACUGAGAUGUCUGUCUAAAUGUACAGUCGAAUUCUGUAAUAUAUGGCCGCCUACGGGCGGGAGAUAUAUCUCCCUAAGGGAAUAUAUAAUUUUAAGUUAUAUAAAAUAUAAUAAGAAAAUAAAAAUAUAUAGAGGUGAUAGAUGUGCGAUAAUAUUAGCACAACUUAUUAGUACUUAAGUAAGAAAACCUUUGUAGGUCAAACCUACUUAAUUUAAUCAGAAUUGGAAGAUGCCGUAUAUCCGUAGAUUGACAAAAAGACCCUAUGCAGCUUUACUAUAUCUUUAUUUUGAUUUAUAAUCAUAAUUAAUUUAUGUUUAGCAUUUUUUCAUUUAUUUCAGUAGAUUAGGUAAUAUUUAUAUUUUAAAUAAAAUGAGAUACCUAUAUAAAUGAAAAAAUAAUCUAAUUAAAAAUGUUAUAUUAAUGCUUAUAUUAAAGCAUAUAACUAAUAUUUAAGAAAGAGUAAAGAGGUUAGUUUCGAUGGGGCGUCGACAUCAGCGAAAGCAUCUGAUGUGUCUAAUAACUUUGAUCUUUAAUUUAAAGACAUUAAUGUUUAAUUAAAUUUUUUAUUUAAUAGUAAAUAACGUACAAUAAAUCUAUAUGGUAAAUAGAUAAUAAUAAUAAUAGGAUAACAACUUAAUUGUGCGAUGAUAAUAACACUAACAAGUGGAAUUAGUACUUACGUAGAGUGUAGUGAACAGGCAUAAACAAAUGGUAUGGAUGUCGAUAACGAAUUAAAGUUACGCUAGGGAUUAAUUGUUAGUCCCUUUAUAUAGUAAUAUAUAUUAUCUCCGCUAUAGUGAGAUACUCUUAUUUAAAAAAUUUUAAUUAAUUUCCCCGACCUAAGGUCGGGGUUCUUAUUUAUUUUUUCUUAAUAAUUGAUAUAAAUUGGGUGAAUUACAAAAAAUUCUUUUUAAUUUAUUUUUAAAGAUAAUUUGUAGCGAAACAUAUUUAAUAGUUUAUUUAAUACCCUAAAUAGGUCGGUAAAUCCUAGCAGGAAAUUUUAAUCUUAAUAAUAUAUCUUAAUCUUAAUCUUAAUUUAAAUUAAAUGUCAUAUAAUAUUCAUAUUAGAAUGGAUACCAAUAUUAUAAAUUAUUAAAUAAGAUAAUUAAUGUUUUUUAAUAUAAAAAUGUUAAAGAUUAAAAAUCUAAUAAAAAUUAAAAUCCCCGUCCUUAGGACGGGUAUUAAAUAUAGUUAUAUGUACGUUCAACGACUAGUAAUUGAGUAAACUAACAAUAAAAUUACCACGAGCUCCCAAUACCUUAUAAAUAAUCAAUCUAAAAAAAAAUUUUAAUAAAAUUAAAUAUUAUGAUAUUUAUUCUGUUUUUAUCCUUAUUAGUAAAUUAAUUAUAAUAAAUAAAAACUUAUAAUAAAAAAAGGGAUAAAGGAAUUAAGACGGUAAGGAGGAAAGGGAAUAAAUAAAACCCGCCCUUCGGGCGGGUAUAAGAUUAGAGUGAAAUCUAAAUAAAGUUAUAAUAUUAAGAUAGAUAAAAUUGAAUUAAGGUAAAGACAUAGUCUGAACUAUAUAGUGAUAUAUAGAAGUUGUAAUAAAAAGAACAACGAUAACAAAAUUGAACAGGGUAAUACCGCGUGAGAGUUGAUAUCGUCAGCGGUGUUUGCCACCUCGAUGUCGUCUAGACUCGUCCUCCUGGUCGCAGCAACUAGGUAGGGUAGGACUGUUCGUCCUCUAAGGAGUCACUUGAGAUGGGUUAAUUACGACGUGAGUCAGUAAUGAUUUUAUCAUCUAUGGAUUUUUUACUUAUCUUUUAUCUUAAGUGUACGCAAGGAUAUUAAGAUACAUUCCUAUGGUUCAUUUUUAUCUAAUUAACCUAACCUAUGGUUUUGUUUGUUAUUUAAUUAAUAAGCUAAGAAUGUUGUGUUUACAUAUUGAAUGCAUAUCAAAUAUUAAAUCCUUAAGAUAAGUUUAUACAUUAUAGACUAUAAUGUUAUAGUUAAUUUAAAUUAAUAAAAUUAUAAUAAAUUUAAUAUAAGAUUUAAAUAAAAUCUAAUUAAAAUAAAAAAAAAAAACAUAUACCU
rnacentral:rRNA from 1 species